UACGGAGGGUGCAAGCGUUAUCCGGAUUCACUGGGCUUAAAGGGUGCGUAGGUGGGCAGGUAAGUCAGUGGUGAAAUCUCCGGGCUUAACCCGGAAACUGCCAUUGAUACUAUCUGUCUUGAAUACCGUGGAGGUGAGCGGAAUAUGUCAUGUAGCGGUGAAAUGCUUAGAUAUGACAUAGAACACCAAUGGCGAAGGCAGCUCGCUGGAACGGUACUGACGCUGAUGCGCGAAAGCCAGGGGAGCGAACGGG
rnacentral:rRNA from 1 species